AUCGAAAUACCGGUUAAUUUGAAAGGUUCACAUAUCGUUAUAGCUAAAAAUAGAGUUUCAGAUGACGGCGAGUCUCAAGGUGAUGAAGUCGAAUUAGAAGUGAUAUCGGACAAAGAAAAAGAAAUGAUAGAAUCGAUUCAGAAUUACGAAGACGAAAGAAAACGAUUAGUGAUAGCGCCUGUUCGUCAGAAAUAUAGAUUAGUUGAUCAGAUGGAAUACGUAGAAACCGGUGUAUUGCGUAAAGAUAUAACUGAUUUUCAAGAAGCUAGAAGAAAAUUAGUUUUUGAUGUCCAUAGUAUUAUUUCUACACUGCCUGACAUAAACAAAGUUAUAAGCAGAAGAUAACUAAUCGGAAACUGGAUGUCUAUUUCACGAAAAAUUGCAUAACAAAAUAAAAAAUAAAUCCUAAUCGUCU